rnacentral:lncRNA from 1 species
CUCCAAUGGCGGCACCUUCAGGCAACUCUCCCGCACGCGAUGCUCCAGCAAUGACGCCUCCGGCGGAAGUGGCGACAGUGGUGGCUCCAUCGUCAGAAGAAGGAGCUUCAUCGGAGAUCCCAAUAGCGAUCCCCAUAGCGGCCUCAUCCUCCGCAGCUGCACCGGCGGUCACGCCGACUACAAGGAACUUCAUCCCAGAGGUUAUUACCGAAUCCUUCCUCUAUCGGCAAUGCAUUUACUUUAGAUCUAUUUCUUACUUUUGCACCCCCUUUCCUUUUUUA